rnacentral:lncRNA from 1 species
AAAGAAAUGUCAUUUACUUGAAAGUUGAACUGACUUAAAUAUCAAAAAGGAGAACUGUGAAAAGGAAACAUACUAUCAUAUAACUAAACGUUCCUCAAGGCUUAAUCCCAAUUUACAAGGCUAUUAGAAUGAGAAAAAUGUUUUGCACGCAACCUCUGUUUCUCGCACAGGAAUCCAAGUGAUCUUAACUCCUGGUUCUUCAAAUUGUAAACAACCACCUCAUUACCUUGAUGUAUGAGAAUUUUCACGAGGUCUAAUAAGUUACUACUAUCAGCACCUCUCAUGGCAACAAGGCAGGUAUCAAUGGACACGAAGCUAUCAUAUGAAGAAGGUAGGUUAGAUAACGAAUCAAGCAGAACUCUCUGAGAUUUGGUCCACACACAUCUAAGUUUGUCCUCCAAAAUGAACAUCUGCAAUUGAUGAUGAGAAGCAGUCGUGAGGCAUAACAAUCCUUUCACCUCCAAUAAGAGGUAGUGUUUUUUUUUCAGUGUCAUACAAAAAACCUGAGCCGGGUUUAGCUAUGUGUGGUGGAAUUUGUGUCUCAUUGAACUCCAGUGUCUCAAUAUUUAAAGAAGAUAUGCAGUACCACUUGUUCUGGUGCUCAUCGUAAUCAGUUAGGUCCUCUACUUUUGUCAGCCAUUGAAGUUCCUUUUGAAUUAGUAUGAUCUGUGAACAUACUCUAAAGUUCAUGUCCUCAUGAUUUCGGAUAGUCUGUGCCUUCCAAGAAUUACCAUCAUGAGGCACGUUUCUUCUAUUUUUCCCCAGAGUAAGCACAACAUAUUGGAACUUGUUCAUAAUUCCAAACACUUUGUAUUGAUCAACACAGGUAUCAUGAACUAAUGCCCAAUGACAACAAUGACAGUCAGCAUUAAUACCAUUCACCCAACGACAACAGUCAAGACGAAUAAGAGGAAGACGCUCAAAACGGGCAAUGACAGGGUUGGAGAUAUAAAGUUGUGGAGCCUGUUCUUGGUCUUGAAAGAGGAGUAAACCAUCACAAGAUGCUUCCAAAGACAAGCUCUCCCUAUUGUGAAUAUAAGAAGGCAACAACAAUUCCUUUGCUUUAUCCUUUUGGAUAUUGAUUACAGAAUAAUAAUAAUGAUGAAAUUCAGUAACACAAUAUGGCUUAGCUUGAAAGAGGAUUUCUUCUUCUAAUUGUGUUCGGUGAGAAGGAAUCAAUUUUAACUUCAAGUGAGCUUUGAUGAAAUUGGGAUGACAGAUUAAAGAGCACCAUAGUUUGGAUACAAGCUUGAAACUUUGUAGAUCUUUAGCAUUAAGAUGUAACAGAAUCUCAAUUAUAACUUCUUCAGGUAAGUAAGUUCCAUUGUAAUUAUGCAAUUUUUUCUGUAAAGUAGUCAUCUAUAAAAAAAAAAAAAAAAAAAAAUACUCCGAUUGGUGUUCUUACCUUAAGAAUCUUUCAGCAGCUGGUGGUGAUGGAAAGUGUUCUUUCUAAAGGUUUGUUUUUCGAUUUUGUGUAGGUUUCGGAUAGAUUAUGAAAAGUUAGAUUUGGAUCUGGAUUGUUCUCCUGUUUGGGAACUGAACUUGUUUGCCAAAGAUUCUGUUGUUGGGGGCUGAAAGCAAUACCAAAUUACCAAUAUCUAGUAAAUAAGUUAAAGCCCAGCCAAUAAUGUAAGU